rnacentral:rRNA from 1 species
CAUGAUGAACGCUAGCUACAGGCUUAACACAUGCAAGUCGAGGGGCAGCAUGGUCUUAGCUUGCUAAGGCCGAUGGCGACCGGCGCACGGGUGAGUAACACGUAUCCAACCUGCCGUCUACUCUUGGACAGCCUUCUGAAAGGAAGAUUAAUACAAGAUGGCAUCAUGAGUCCGCAUGUUCACAUGAUUAAAGGUAUUCCGGUAGACGAUGGGGAUGCGUUCCAUUAGAUAGUAGGCGGGGUAACGGCCCACCUAGUCUUCGAUGGAUAGGGGUUCUGAGAGGAAGGUCCCCCACAUUGGAACUGAGACACGGUCCAAACUCCUACGGGAGGCAGCAGUGAGGAAUAUUGGUCAAUGGGCGAGAGCCUGAACCAGCCAAGUAGCGUGAAGGAUGACUGCCCUAUGGGUUGUAAACUUCUUUUAUAAAGGAAUAAAGUCGGGUAUGGAUACCCGUUUGCAUGUACUUUAUGAAUAAGGAUCGGCUAACUCCGUGCCAGCAGCCGCGGUAAUACGGAGGAUCCGAGCGUUAUCCGGAUUUAUUGGGUUUAAAGGGAGCGUAGAUGGAUGUUUAAGUCAGUUGUGAAAGUUUGCGGCUCAACCGUAAAAUUGCAGUUGAUACUGGAUAUCUUGAGUGCAGUUGAGGCAGGCGGAAUUCGUGGUGUAGCGGUGAAAUGCUUAGAUAUCACGAAGAACUCCGAUUGCGAAGGCAGCCUGCUAAGCUGCAACUGACAUUGAGGCUCGAAAGUGUGGGUAUCAAACAGGAUUAGAUACCCUGGUAGUCCACACGGUAAACGAUGAAUACUCGCUGUUUGCGAUAUACAGCAAGCGGCCAAGCGAAAGCGUUAAGUAUUCCACCUGGGGAGUACGCCGGCAACGGUGAAACUCAAAGGAAUUGACGGGGGCCCGCACAAGCGGAGGAACAUGUGGUUUAAUUCGAUGAUACGCGAGGAACCUUACCCGGGCUUAAAUUGCAGAUGAAUUACGGUGAAAGCCGUAAGCCGCAAGGCAUCUGUGAAGGUGCUGCAUGGUUGUCGUCAGCUCGUGCCGUGAGGUGUCGGCUUAAGUGCCAUAACGAGCGCAACCCUUGUUGUCAGUUACUAACAGGUUCCGCUGAGGACUCUGACAAGACUGCCAUCGUAAGAUGUGAGGAAGGUGGGGAUGACGUCAAAUCAGCACGGCCCUUACGUCCGGGGCUACACACGUGUUACAAUGGGGGGUACAGAGGGCCGCUACCACGCGAGUGGAUGCCAAUCCCCAAAACCUCUCUCAGUUCGGACUGGAGUCUGCAACCCGACUCCACGAAGCUGGAUUCGCUAGUAAUCGCGCAUCAGCCACGGCGCGGUGAAUACGUUCCCGGGCCUUGUACACACCGCCCGUCAAGCCAUGGGAGCCGGGGGUACCUGAAGUGCGUAACCGCGAGGAGCGCCCUAGGGUAA